AUGUCAGGAGGGCAUCUCCUAAUUAUCUGCUUGUAUCUCUUCCAAGCUUCAUAGAGGGAUUCUCUAUCUUUCUGUCUGAAGGUCUGGACAUCCACUCUGAGCUU